rnacentral:rRNA from 1 species
GUACACUCCUACGGGAGGCAGCAGUGGGGAAUUUUGGACAAUGGGCGAAAGCCUGAUCCAGCAAUGCCGCGUGUGUGAAGAAGGCCUUCGGGUUGUAAAGCACUUUUGUCCGGAAAGAAAUCCUUGGCUCUAAUACAGUCGGGGGAUGACGGUACCGGAAGAAUAAGCACCGGCUAACUACGUGCCAGCAGCCGCGGUAAUACGUAGGGUGCGAGCGUUAAUCGGAAUUACUGGGCGUAAAGCGUGCGCAGGCGGUUUGCUAAGACCGAUGUGAAAUCCCCGGGCUCAACCUGGGAACUGCAUUGGAGACUGGCAGGCUAGAGUAUGGCAGAGGGGGGUAGAAUGCCACGUGUAGCAGUGAAAUGCGUAGAGAUGUGGAGGAAUACCGAUGGCGAAGGCAGCCCCCUGGGCCAAUACUGACGCUCAUGCACGAAAGCGUGGGGAGCAAACAGGAUUAGAAACCCGAGUAGUCCC